UACGAAGGGGGCGAGCGUUGUUCGGAUUUACUGGGCGUAAAGGGCGCGCAGGCGGUCAUUUUUGUCGAGUGUGAAAGCCCCGGGCUUAACCUGGGAACUGCGCUCGAAACGGGAUGACUAGAGAUCGGGAGAGGAGAGUGGAAUUCCCAGUGUAGAGGUGAAAUUCGUAGAUAUUGGGAAGAACACCAGUGGCGAAGGCGGCUACCUGGCCCAUUCUUGACGCUGAGGCGCGAAAGCUAGGGGAGCAAACGGG
rnacentral:rRNA from 1 species